AUUCAGAAGCGAGAAUGUUGACAUGAGUAGCGACAAAGCGGGUGAGAGACCCGCUCGCCGAAAGUCCAAGGGUUCCUGCUUAAAGCUAAUCUGAGCAGGGUGAGCCGACCCCUAAGGCGAGGCCGAAAGGCGUAGUCGAUGGGAACCAGGUUAAUAUUCCUGGGCCAGGAGGAAGUGACGGAUCGUAGCUGUUGUCUGGUCUUAUCGGAUUGAUCAGGCUUCGAAGCGGUCCCUGGAAAUAGCCCUCCGUGAGAUCGUACCCUAAACCGACACAGGUGGACUGGUAGAGCAUACCAAGGCGCUUGAGAGAACUACGUUGAAGGAACUCGGCAAAAUGCCUCCGUAACUCCGGGAGAAGGAGGCCCCGUUGGUGGGCAACCACUGGCGGGGGGCACAAACUAGGGGGUGGCGACUGUUUACUAAAAACACAGGACUCUGCGAAGCCCAAAGGCGACGUAUAGGGUCUGACGCCUGCCCGGUGCCGGAAGGUUAAAAGGAGGAGUGCAAGCUCUGAAUUGAAGCCCCGGUAAACGGCGGCCGUAACAAUAACGGUCCUAAGGUAGCGAAAUUCCUUGUCGGGUAAGUUCCGACCUGCACGAAUGGCGUAACGACUUCCCCGCUGUCUCCAACUUAGACUCAGCGAAAUUGAAUUCCCCGUGAAGAUGCGGGGUUCCCGCGGUCAGACGGAAAGACCCCGUGCACCUUUACUACAGCUUCACACUGGCAUCAGGUCAGGCAUGUGCAGGAUAGGUGGUAGGCUUGAAGCGGGGACGCCAGUUCCCGGGGAGCCUCCCUUGGGAUACCACCCUUGCCUUGCCUGAUGUCUAACCGCGGACCGUUAUCCGGUUCCGGGACCCUGUGUGGCGGGUAGUUUGACUGGGGCGGUCGCCUCCCAAAGAGUAACGGAGGCGCGCGAUGGUGGGCUCAGGUUGGUCGGAAAUCAACCGUCGAGUGCAAUGGCAUAAGCCCGCCUGACUGCGAGACUGACAAGUCGAGCAGAGACGAAAGUCGGCCAUAGUGAUCCGGUGGUCCCGCGUGGAAGGGCCAUCGCUCAACGGAUAAAAGGUACGCCGGGGAUAACAGGCUGAUACUGCCCAAGAGUCCAUAUCGACGGCAGUGUUUGGCACCUCGAUGUCGGCUCAUCACAUCCUGGGGCUGGAGAAGGUCCCAAGGGUACGGCUGUUCGCCGUUUAAAGUGGUACGUGAGCUGGGUUUAGAACGUCGUGAGACAGUUCGGUCCCUAUCUGCCGUGGGUGUCGGAGACUUGAGAGGAGUUGCCCCUAGUACGAGAGGACCGGGGUGAACGCACCACUGGUGGACCUGUUGUCGUGCCAACGGCAGUGCAGGGUAGCUAUGUGCGGACAGGAUAACCGCUGAAGGCAUCUAAGCGGGAAGCCCCCCUCAAAACCAGGUCUCCCUUGAGGGCCGUGGAAGACCACCACGUCGAUAGGCCGGAGGUAUAAGUGCAGCAAUGCAUUCAGCUGACCGGUACUAAUCGCCC
rnacentral:rRNA from 1 species